rnacentral:rRNA from 1 species
UGGGGAAUAUUGGACAAUGGGCGAAAGCCUGAUCCAGCAAUGCCGCGUGAGUGAUGAAGGCCUUAGGGUUGUAAAGCUCUUUUACCAGGGAUGAUAAUGACAGUACCUGGAGAAUAAGCUCCGGCUAACUCCGUGCCAGCAGCCGCGGUAAUACGGAGGGAGCUAGCGUUGUUCGGAAUUACUGGGCGUAAAGCGUACGUAGGCGGUGACUCAAGUCAGAGGUGAAAGCCUGGAGCUCAACUCCAGAACUGCCUUUGAAACUAGGUCGCUAGAGUCACGGAGAGGUGAGUGGAAUUCCGAGUGUAGAGGUGAAAUUCGUAGAUAUUCGGAAGAACACCAGUGGCGAAGGCGGCUCACUGGACGUGUAUUGACGCUGAGGUACGAAAGCGUGGGGAGCAAACAGGAUUAGAUACCCAAGUAGUCCCUGAGCGGGCUGGCAAGGCGCAU